UAUCCAGACUCCUACGGGAGGCAGCAGUGAGGAAUAUUGGUCAAUGGACGGAAGCCUGAACCAGCCAAGUCGCGUGAGGGAUUAAGGCCCUAUGGGUCGUAAACCUCUUUUGUCAGGGAGCAAGGUCGUCCACGUGUGGGCGUAUGGAGAGUACCUGAAGAAAAAGCAUCGGCUAACUCCGUGCCAGCAGCCGCGGUAAUACGGAGGAUGCGAGCGUUAUCCGGAUUUAUUGGGUUUAAAGGGUGCGUAGGCGGAAUGCCAAGUCAGCGGUAAAAUCGCGGGGCUCAACCUCGCUCCGCCGUUGAAACUGGCGUUCUUGAGUGGGCGAGAAGUAUGCGGAAUGCGUGGUGUAGCGGUGAAAUGCAUAGAUAUCACGCAGAACUCCGAUUGCGAAGGCAGCAUACCGGCGCCCAACUGACGCUGAAGCACGAAAGCGUGGGUAUCGAACAGGAUUAGAUACCCGGGUAA
rnacentral:rRNA from 1 species